rnacentral:rRNA from 1 species
UGGGGAAUAUUGGACAAUGGGCGAAAGCCUGAUCCAGCCAUGCCACGUGUGUGAAGAAGGUCUUCGGAUUGUAAAGCACUUUAAGUUGGGAGGAAGGGCAUUAACCUAAUACGUUAGUGUUUUGACGUUACCGACAGAAUAAGCACCGGCUAACUCUGUGCCAGCAGCCGCGGUAAUACAGAGGGUGCAAGCGUUAAUCGGAAUUACUGGGCGUAAAGCGCGCGUAGGUGGUUUGUUAAGUUGGAUGUGAAAGCCCCGGGCUCAACCUGGGAACUGCAUCCAAAACUGGCAAGCUAGAGUACGGUAGAGGGUGGUGGAAUUUCCUGUGUAGCGGUGAAAUGCGUAGAUAUAGGAAGGAACACCAGUGGCGAAGGCGACCACCUGGACUGAUACUGACACUGAGGUGCGAAAGCGUGGGGAGCAAACA